rnacentral:rRNA from 1 species
CUGAAACAUCUAAGUAGCUGCAGGAAGAGAAAGCAAAAGCGAUUGCCUUAGUAGCGGCGAGCGAAACGGCAGGAGGGCAAACCGAAGAGUUUACUCUUCGGGGUUGUAGGACUGCAAUGUGGACUCAAAGAUUAUAGAAGAAUGAUUUGGGAAGAUCAGCCAAAGAGAGUAAUAGCCUCGUAUUUAAAAUAGUCUUUGUACUUAGCAGUAUCCUGAGUACGGCGGGACACGGGAAAUCCCGGCGGAAUUUGGGAGGACCAUCUCCCAACCCUAAAUACUCCCUAGUGACCCAAUAGUGAACCAGUACCGUGAGGGAAAGGUGAAAAGCACCCCGGGAGGGGAGUGAAAUAGAACCUGAAACCGUGUGCCUACAACAAGUUCGAGCCCGUUAAUGGGUGAGAGCGUGCCUUUUGUAGAAUGAACCGGCGAGUUACGUUAUGAUGCGAGGUUAAGUUGAAGAGACGGAGCCGUAGGGAAACCGAGUCUGAAUUGGGCGCCUUAGUAUCAUGACGUAGACCCGAAACCAUGUGACCUACCCAUGAGCAGGUUGAAGGUGCGGUAAGACGCACUGGAGGACCGAACCAGGGCACGUUGAAAAGUGCUUGGAUGACUUGUGGGUAGCGGAGAAAUUCCAAACGAACUUGGAGAUAGCUGGUUCUCUCCGAAAUAGCUUUAGGGCUAGCGUCGACAUUAGAGAUUCUUGGAGGUAGAGCACUGUUUGGGUGAGGGGUCCAUCCCGGAUUACCAAUCUCAGAUAAACUCCGAAUGCCAAUGAAUUAUGGUCGGCAGUCAGACUGCGAGUGCUAAGAUCCGUAGUCGAAAGGGAAACAGCCCAGACCACCAGCUAAGGUCCCAAAAUAAUUGUUAAGUGGAAAAGGAUGUGGGGUUGCACAGACAACUAGGAUGUUAGCUUAGAAGCAGCUAUUCAUUCAAAGAGUGCGUAAUAGCUCACUAGUCGAGUGGCCCUGCGCCGAAAAUGUACCGGGGCUAAAACAAUUUACCGAAGCUGUGGAUACCUUUAUAGGUAUGGUAGGAGAGCGUUCUAUGUGUGAUGAAGGUAUACCGUGAGGAGUGCUGGAACGCAUAGAAGUGAGAAUGCCGGUAUGAGUAGCGAAAGACAGGUGAGAAUCCUGUCCACCGUAAGACUAAGGUUUCCAGGGGAAGGCUCGUCCGCCCUGGGUUAGUCGGGACCUAAGGAGAGACCGAAAGGUGUAUCCGAUGGACAACAGGUUGAUAUUCCUGUACUAGAGUAUGUAGUGAUGGAGGGACGCAGUAGGCUAACUAAAGCAGACGAUUGGAAGAGUCUGUCUAAGCAGUGAGGUGUGAAUUGAGUCAAAUGCUUAAUUCUAUAACAUUGAGCUGUGAUGGGGAGCGAAGUUUAGUAGCGAAGUUAGUGACGUCACACUGCCAAGAAAAGCUUCUAGCGUUUAAACAUACUCUACCCGUACCGCAAACCGACACAGGUAGUCGAGGCGAGUAGCCUCAGGUGAGCGAGAGAACUCUCGUUAAGGAACUCGGCAAAAUGACCCCGUAACUUCGGGAGAAGGGGUGCUGACUUUAAGUCAGCCGCAGUGAAUAGGCCCAAGCAACUGUUUAUCAAAAACACAGCUCUCUGCUAAAUCGUAAGAUGAUGUAUAGGGGGUGACGCCCGCCCGGUGCUGGAAGGUUAAGAGGAGUGCUUAGCGUAAGCGAAGGUAUGAAUUGAAGCCCCAGUAAACGGCGGCCGUAUCUAUAACGGUCCUAAGGUAGCGAAAUUCCUUGUCGGGUAAGUUCCGACCCGCACGAAAGGCGUAAUGAUUUGGGCACUGUCUCAACGAGAGACUCGGUGAAAUUUUAGUACCUGUGAAGAUGCAGGUUACCCGCGACAGGACGGAAAGACCCCAUGGAGCUUUACUGCAGUUUGAAAUUGAGUGUCUGUACCACAUGUACAGGAUAGGUAGGAGUCUAAGAGAUCGGGACGCCAGUUUCGAAGGAGACGCUAUUGGGAUACUACCCUUGUGUUAUGGCCACUCUAACCCAGAUAGGCGAUCCCUAUCGGAGACAGUGUCUGACGGGCAGUUUGACUGGGGCGGUCGCCUCCUAAAAGGUAACGGAGGCGCCCAAAGGUUCCCUCAGAAUGGUUGGAAAUCAUUCGCAGAGUGUAAAGGUAUAAGGGAGCUUGACUGCGAGAGCUACAACUCGAGCAGGGACGAAAGUCGGGCUUAGUGAUCCGGUGGUUCCGUAUGGAAGGGCCAUCGCUCAACGGAUAAAAGCUACCCUGGGGAUAACAGGCUUAUCUCCCCCAAGAGUUCACAUCGACGGGGAGGUUUGGCACCUCGAUGUCGGCUCGUCGCAUCCUGGGGCUGUAGUCGGUCCCAAGGGUUGGGCUGUUCGCCCAUUAAAGCGGCACGCGAGCUGGGUUCAGAACGUCGUGAGACAGUUCGGUCCCUAUCCGUCGCGGGCGUAGGAAAUUUGAGAGGAUCUGCUCCUAGUACGAGAGGACCAGAGUGGUCUUACCGCUGGUGUACCAGUUGUCUUGCCAAAGGCAUCGCUGGGUAGCUAUGUAGGGAAGGGAUAAACGCUGAAAGCAUCUAAGUGUGAAACCCACCUCAAGAUGAGAUUUCCCAUGAUUAUAUAUCAGUAAGAGCCCUGAGAGAUGAUCAGGUAGAUAGGUUAGAAGUGGAAGUGUGGCGACACAUGUAGCGGACUAAUACUAAUAGCUCGAGGACUUAUCCAA